rnacentral:rRNA from 1 species
CCUACGGGGAGCAGCAGUAGGGAAUAUUGCUCAAUGGGGGAAACCCUGAAGCAGCAACGCCGCGUGGAGGAUGAAGGAUUUCGGAUUGUAAACUUCUGUUCUUAGUGAAGAAUCAUGACGGUAGCUCAGGAGCAAGCCACGGCUAACUACGUGCCAGCAGCCGCGGUAAUACGUAGGUGGCAAGCGUUGUCCGGAAUUACUGGGUGUAAAGGGAGCGCAGGCGGGAAGCCAAGUCAGCUGUGAAAACAACGAGCUUAACUUGUAGACUGCAGUUGAAACUGGUUUUCUUGAGUGACGUAGGGGUUGGCGGAAUUCCGAGUGUAGCGGUGAAAUGCGUAGAUAUUCGGAGGAACACCGGUGGCGAAGGCGGCCAACUGGGCUUUAACUGACGCUGAGGCUCGAAAGUGUGGGAAGCAAACAGGAUUAGAUACCCGUGUAGUC